rnacentral:piRNA from 1 species
UAUAAGGUCAUUGCUCUCAAAUUCCAUGC